UACGGGGGGGGCUAGCGUUGUUCGGAAUUACUGGGCGUAAAGCGCACGUAGGCGGCUUUGUAAGUUAGAGGUGAAAGCCCGGAGCUCAACUCCGGAACUGCCUUUAAGACUGCAUCGCUCGAAUCAUGGAGAGGUCAGUGGAAUUCCGAGUGUAGAGGUGAAAUUCGUAGAUAUUCGGAAGAACACCAGUGGCGAAGGCGACUGACUGGACAUGUAUUGACGCUGAGGUGCGAAAGCGUGGGGAGCAAACAGG
rnacentral:rRNA from 1 species